GCUGAGGGAAGAAUCAUGGGAAAGAGUAGAGACGGGGUUCCACCGUGUUAGCCAGGAUGGUCUCGAUCUCCUGACCUCGUCAUCCUCCCGCCUUGGCCUCCCAAAGUGCUGGGAUUACAGGCUUGAGCCACCGCGCCCCGCUCUUUCGUGUUCCAAAGGCUUUUUAAAUAAACUUCCACUCCUGUCCUGGAUUCUGCUUUAUGGCCCUCAGUCGAAUUCUUUCUUCUGAGGAGGCAAGGACUGAAGUUGCUUCUGACCAGUACAGGAGAAAACGAAUACAGCAGGGAUGACUUCCACCAGCUCCACUUUGCAGCUCUGAGGUGUAUUAAAAAUGACCUGGAAGAAGUCAUGCCACGGGCCAGACCUUAACAUUCCUUUCGGCUUACCCCAGGAUUUCAGACGAAGCUUCACUUUCCUAACCAGUCACAAAUCAGAGAAUUUUUGAUUCCACCUAUGACCUAAUAAGACACCAACAGAGCUCCCGACAUGCAAAGCAUAGACGUCUGUCCAAUUUCUGAAGAAGUUAAGACAUGAAAAUGGCAAAGGUUUUCUGGAGAUUUGUUGAGAUGACUGAGGUUGAGAACACUAUCCCCAUGUUAAAGAAAAGACAGAAUUGGAUGGAUGCAGCUUUCUUAGUAUUUCUGUGUACCUUAAUACCCUAACAUUGGUGGUUUGGGCCCUUCAAGACACAUUAUUGGACAACAUCACUGCGAUAUUGAGUACCAUCAGAGCAGCUGAGAUGCACUGAAAUGUUGCCGAUGUAAUUUUUGCUAUGCAGAAAGAAACUUACAGAUCUCUAC
ensembl:lncRNA PPP1R3B-DT PPP1R3B divergent transcript